AUUAAACCAUGGUCAGCAAUGAUCCCUUUCCAGCCCUUGUGGAAGAUGGGAGCGCGCUGUGAAGCAGAGCACUAAAGGAUGAUCUGUGUGGUGGAGAGAUUAAUUGUACAAAAAAAUUGCUCUGACUUCUGCUGAAUAUUCCAAAAUUCCCUCGAUGGCUUCAGAAGUGGCACUGCUGCUAACACCUGUUGUAGUAGGAGGUUUGUGUGACACUCCCCACUUCAAUUCAUGACCCUUGAGGAUGAACUGUAAGGAUUAGUGCUUUGGGAGAGGAGGAGGAAGAAAUAUAAAAUGGGGUUUCUUAUGCUGUCCUUGGGCUUCAGCAAUGUUACUGGUAAGCCAACUGUUAUUUUUUAAUACUGGAUGGCUGGAGACCAAGGAAUUGUGAUGACCUCAGUGAUCUGGUGUGGUUUGUGGCUGCAAGGUCUGUGGGAUGGUGGCAGCCUGCCAGCUCCCUGUACAUAAUUUGCAGGCUGCUGUUUCUGACCAGUGUUUGUUAUUGUAAGAGAGUGACACUGCCUAUAACUCAUCCCUAAGUCUCCCCUGGUGGGUGUUGGACGAGCAGCGGGUACGUGCUCGUGCACACAGCGGCGUCCCCGCGGGCACGUGCCCACCUCCGCUACCUGCAAAGGGCUUGCCACCACCCUGGCUCACCUCGGUGUGAUUGAGGAUAAUUAGGUUUCAGCUGCCUCCUGAUGCAGAAAUACACGGCACCACGGCACGGCCAGCUCUGCCUUGGCAGCGGUGCCUCCCGAAGGCUAUCGAUUCCACACUUGUACAUUUUUAAAAGGUCACGGCAAUAAUUCUGCCUGAAUCGUACUAAGUGAAAAUAGUUUGCAGAGGUAAUAUGGUUCCUGCUUGCUUCCAGAGUAAACAAAAGUCAGUGUUUUUUAUUAUUGGUUUUAGCAUAUUUUAAUUACAUCUAUUUGCCUCGCUGUCACAUCAUAUCGAUGGAUUCUUUGUGAAGUUGUAUGGCAAGUGACCUUCAACAUAAUAUGACUCUGGGUUCUGUGCAGAGAUAUUUUAUUUUUCUCUUAUGUAAGAUGUGCUGGAAGUGCUUAUCAUAAUAUGGUGCUCACAUUAAAAAUUAAAAGCAUAAGAUUAAAAAUUAACUUUUUCCCCUAGUCCUAUCAUAUAUCUGUCCAUUUUAAUAAGACAAACAUAUCUACAGCUCUAUGACUAUGGUAUUAAAUGUGCUUACUUUUUGCAAAAUAUCAUUGUAGUUGCACAAACAGCCUUCCCUGGCUUGACUGGGAACAGAUUGUACCCAACAAUUCGUUUGACUAACAGGCUAUAUAAUGCAAUGAGUUAACUUAUUAGAAUACAUAGCUACUGCAGCCCAAGUGCCCUAGAAAGAUGACAGAAAGCUAUGGAUGCUAUGGCAUAAAUUAUUUCAAUAGCUGUGCUCCAAUUAGUGGCUUUGUACUCUGUCUGGUUUACAGGACUUAAAACCAGGGCUAAACUCAGAAGGAGAAAGAGAAGGUAAGAUUUCGUGCACAGAGCUUUCCUAUCUUUUAUGGCAUUUUUUUAUUCCUAUCCUUCCUUUGUUUUAAAUUAUUUUACCCUGUCGAUCCUUUGUACAUCGAGAGAGAUCUUAGGUUUUCUACCAGCACAGCUUUAUUCCUCCACGUGGGUCCACUGAAGGAUAGAGCUGAAUGUUUCCACCCUACAGCAUGGGUUUUGCCAGGGAGAUGUCCUCUGUAUGAGAGUAAAUGGCAAAAGAUUUUCCCCCGAAUCAUCUUUAGCAUUAAUGGUAAGUGGCAUAUGCAGGGAUGGAAGCUUAAAUGUACCAUGUUCCCAUGUGCAUCUACUCAGUCCCACUACAGUUGCCAUAAUUCACUCCACAAUUGAUUGUUAAUUUACUUUAAUACACAUGUCUGAACCUGAUAAAUAGUGAGUAAGUAAGUAUGUGAUAGGCUAUCCAACCUUCUUCAUAUAGAUGAAGAAAUACUACAGAGCUGAAAUCCACUUGUGCUCCCUGAACACAAUGCUGUAUUCUGUUUUUCUAUUCAUAGUGUUGUAAAUUUGUCAGCCUAAUGGGACACUUGGUAAGAUGUUUUCCUUUUAAAGUGCUUAAUGGAAGUAGGUACUACAUUGAUCCAAAAUCUAGUCUAACAUUUCAUAUAGUGGGAUCUGGAAUUGUGUCAUUAGCUGCAUAGAAGUUAAGUAGUCUUUCAUUCUUCUCUUUAUUUUAGACUGAAUUUUGCUAAACCUGAUACUCAACCUCCUGUUUAUAUGUGGAAUGAAAUCAGUAUGCAGUUUGGCCACCAAAUUCCAAGGUCAUAUUGUAUUUUCAUUCAGUGUAAACACAAGUGGACGUGGAAAGUAGGCAGAACGCAUAGCCAAACUUUGAUCUUCUUUCUCUCUUUCUCCAGGUGGAAGGACUGUGGCAGUGGGGAUGAAAUAGCUGCACUAGGAUAGACCCAAUGCCUCUCAGGCCAGUAACAUGUUUUUUGACAAGUGAGACAUUGACAGAAUGAGAUCCAUGCAGAUAUCUGGUGAUUAUUCCCUAAAAUAUUCCCUGGCAGUCACUAAUUUUCAGGUCAAGUGCUUCUUAAGCAGAAGUGAUGACUCUAUAUUUAGUACUACUGAUGGAUUUUUCUUCCCUGGAAGGAUAAAGUGAACUCAGUUACUCAGCAUGAUGGGUGGGAAACUUUGGAAACAGUUCACAGUGUGAACAUUGAUGAUCAGUCUUAUGAGCUCUUGAAUGUUGGAGGUUUGAGUCUAACAAGGCUGAUACUAGGUUUGGUUUGGCCGCAGUCCUAUACCAGUCAGGAAAAUCUGUGUUUAAAGGCCAAGAGCCAGAUGGGUAACAAAAUGCCCAGUCAAUAAAAACCCUUCUCUGAGAGAAAUGUGGAAAAGGUGAGGUGCAUUUCUCAGACUUUGAUAUACGUCUUUUCUGGAUUGAAUUGUGAUGUGACAAACAUCUGCCUUGCACAUAAACCUGGUUAUGAAACCAGGUUGGCAUUUUUGCUGCUGCUUAAAUAAGGGUUAGCCCUGAGUUCUCCAGCCUAACAGCACUGUUUAGGAAAAGUACCAUUUUCUCUAGAGCUGUUUAAAGCAGUGAAACUGAAAUACUCUGGGAAGUGCUGAGUUGGGGUAUAGUGGUAUACAAGAUGCAGAUUUGUAAAAUCAGUAAGCUUGAAGACCUUGCAAGGCACCCAUAAAAACACCCUCUACAGAACAAACUCCUUGAGAGUGCAGAGAGUCACAGGAACCCCUCUGAAUCAUGAAAUGCUUUUAAAAAUCUUUUUGCUACCCCAUGUGAUCAUGUCCCACCUACAAGCCCAGGAUGGACAGUGUAGAGCUCAGACAAUGCACCUCCAGCCCUGAGCACAUACUGAUUUGUGCUGCUGCAGCUCAGUGCUUAUAGCCCAGGCUUUCCCCUGCCCCUUUGUGUUACAUCCAGGUGCUAGGUUUCCCCUGAGAAGAAUUGCAUUUAUUCCAACAAAAGCUAUCAAUCUGUGACAUUGUUUAUAAUAGGGAGAAAAAGUCAACAUCAGAAAUCUUUCCUGUACCAUAUAUUACCUUUGAGAUUUAUCAAAACUUGGAUUUCUCUGAGGGUCGACAGUAAGAUGAUAGAAUAAGCUGUCUUGGCUGUCUUUUUUUUUUUUUGUUUUGUUAUUUUGUUUGUCUGGUUUUGGUUUUUUGUUGUUGUUUGUUUGUUGGUUCUGUGUGUAUGAAAAGGGUCUGUAAAUAAGAACCACCAAUGCAGGCUAGUACAAUAAUUAAAGACACUUAACCUGCUUGCUGUAACCAUCUUUUGAAGUGGUGUUUUCCUCCCUGGUUAAUACAGGGGCACUGGUGCUGCUGGAAGCAAGAAGUCAGAAGUUUAGAGCAUGUUGGUUGUGUACUUAGUGAACUUCUGCUGCAGGGAAACGUCAAGAUCCCCACACAUGCCUGUAAGUGUGUGUAUUUGGUUGUUGCCACUGUUCUGCUAUACAGCCCAAUGGAAAUGAUGCAGGAUGACUUGCUUGCAGAGUUGAUUCUUGGUGGAAGAAAGGUGACCAGUCUGAGUUUCAGCUUUUCCUAUCUGCUCCUUCCUGGUUUCCAUUGUCAUUGUAUUUUACCAUUGUGCACAAGACUUGGCAGGAAUAUCCCAAUAGUACAGUGAGUGAGUUAAUUCUCCUAGGCUCAUGCUGCUGCUGCUGACCUGGUACAGGAUUCUUGUAUCAAAUGGCUGUAUAUGAGGAAAAGGAAGGAAUUUCAGAUCAUCCUGUAGGCCUCCCCUGCAGAGAACUGAGGAAGUGGAAAUGGCCUUCAGCUGGUCCAAGGAGGGCAUGGAGGCUUUUGUCUCCUCCACCUGAACACUCCACAUCAACUUCUUGGGCAGCUAAUGGUAGAGUGGGAGGAUCCCAAGGCACAUCUGUGCCUCUUGUCAAUGAUUCAUCAUCCCCAGAGGGUUUGUCUACUCUCCAUGUGGCUGGGGAAAGAUGUAAGGCCCCUACUCCUGAUGCCAUGGGUGUAUGGGGCAAAUUGCUGAAGUAGCUUUUUGUCUUCCCUUCUGUGUAAGCUCAAGAGUCAAGGGAUUUCAUGGACACCAACCCACCCUGAAGCUGGGAAUUGUUCUUUAUUUCUCCUUCACAGUCCCUUGCUGGGAGUGCAUAUGAGGUUUUAGAGGACAUUUGGAUUACUGGAUACACAUGGGGAUUUCUGUGGAGCUAGUGGGAAAGGGAUGCAACCAGCAGAACAGCACUUCAAUAAAAUGAGACUGGCUACAGAGACCACUCUGCUCCUAGUGUGCCUCAGAAGAGGGAAAUCCAUCAUGGGAAGAGAGAUGCCCAAGCCCUGGGGCAUGAACGAACCCUCUUCCCUCCCUCCUCUCAGACACAGGGCAAAGCCGUCCUGCUGUAGAGCUGAUCCAGCCUUGGGACAUGACCUCUGGCCUGGAGCAACCUGGGCCAGCCAAAGCUGCUAAUGACAGCUGCUCUUCCUAUUCUGGGAUGCUUAUGUCCGCUACAAAUGGAAAGAGGGAGGUGAAGUAGAGGUCAUGUAAGAAAAUGGCCUCACUGGCAUUCCUUAAAAGAUGUAGCCCAGGUCCUGUUUUGCUUUGAACAAGUGGUCUCAACGUAUCACUCUCUCUCUCCAGCUGCUUUCGUGAUCUUGGAAGGGUUUUCCUAGCAGUUGUACUUGUCAAUUUGUCACAGUCCACAUGAGUUUCUAUGUCUGGAAGUCAAUACGGCAACCACUAAUAUAUAGCGUGCUUUUACUGUGAAUUCAUGAAGUAUCACUGCAAUUAAAUUUCCCUGUUAAUGACAUGAUUUAUUAAUGAAACAAGGUUCAUCCUGAAGCUCUUGAAAAUGAAAAUAGAGUUGAUUCCCCCCCUUUAUGACAGUGUCAUAAAGCUCAUAUUAGAUACAGAUUUUGAAUGACAUUUUAAAAGGCUGGCAAGCCAAGGAACCUAGAGGGGAGAAUCAGGAUUUGCCCUUUUCCAGACAACUCACACAAAGAAAUUGGAGAAGACAAAUCAACAGCAAGAAUCCCUACCCCAAAGCAGAAAAAGCCUGAACCCAAUGCCAGAUAAAGCCAAAAGCCUCCUGAUAAGGAAAAUCACAGAAGUCUUCUAUUGUUUUGCAUCCUCUCAGUUAGAAGCAAUAUAGUGCUGAGAUGAAAAAGCUUUUGUGUGGAAUAGAAAGUUUCUUGGGGAAGGCUAAAGAACAGCACUGCAGUAUGUGCCACAGAAGCUGUGCCUGAGGCAUGCAGUGUGAAAAAAAGCAUUAGUGUGGGGCUCAGAUGAUGGUCUGCUGGCCUUUUCCAUUCUUUUGUGGCAGGUGACCUCCAAAAAAGACCUUGGGAUAAAUAGUAACUAAGCCAAUCAAACAAAGUAACUGCUCCCUCAGUCAUACCUGUAAAGUUCACUUUAUGUUAAUCGACUCCAUAUUGUUGUGGAAGUUUUCUGCCUAUUUGCUAUAUAAGCUGUUGGUUUCAUUUGUUGGGUUUUGGUUUUUUUUUUCUUCUCUAAUAAAAUGCUCUAAAUA